rnacentral:rRNA from 1 species
UACGGAGGGAGCAAGCGUUACUCGGAAUUAUUGGGCGUAAAGGGCGUGUAGGCGAUUUGAAAAGUCUUGUGUGAAAGCCCCGAGCUUAACUCGGGAAGUGCACAAGAAACUGUUGAAUUUGAGUUCCGGAGAGGAAGGCAGAAUUCCCGGUGUAGCGGUGAAAUGCGUAGAUAUCGGGAGGAAUACCAGUGGCGAAGGCGGCCUUCUGGACGGAUACUGACGCUGAGGCGCGAAAGCCAGGGGAGCAAACGGG